UCGAUACAGACUCUAAAGACUAUUUUGCAUACAAUUAUAGUCUCCAUACAGCCGCCAGAUGUGAAAAAAAAAACAAAGGAAAAUAGAGCUGAGUUAGCCUUAUUAAACUCAGUUAUACGUAUAAUAACAGUGAGCAUUGGAACGGGUUGAUUGAUUGGUACUAAAGCCAAAUAGCUCCAGCUUCCCUGAGCAAUUUCUUCAGGGAACCAUUAAGGUGAAGAGUCAUGAUAGUGUUAGCAGAGCCUACAAAUUUGCCCCCAAUGAACACUGCAGGGACUGAGGGGUUGCAUCCUAACCUCAUAAGAGCCCAUUCCAUUUCCCUCCCUCUUGAAUCCUCAUCAAGCUCAUAAAUUGCAGGGCUCACCCCUUGUUCAUAGAACAACCUCUUGAUUGCAUGGCACAUGCAGCAGGAACUUUUGCUGAAGAUCACUACUGCCUUCUGGGACGCCAACUUGGCUACUCGAUCCAUAUCUAAUUCCUUUCAAAAAAAAAAAGUGUAAUAAUGUCUACAACAAUAAGAUUAUAAUAAAAUGUGGGUGGAUAAUAAUGAUUGUUAAUUUGAAGGCUUUGAGAUCAAAAUUUAAGAAGCCUUGACAGAAAUGCGAGAGAGCACAUUGAGAAUAGAAGCAGGGGAAGUGCUGGUUGUAAGUGAUCGAUGAUUAAGCUUGAGAUUGUUAGUUGUGCUAGCUAGCUUGACAUAGCUUAUAUAUACAUAUACACACUCAUAGAAACAGAGAGAG
rnacentral:misc_RNA from 1 species